rnacentral:lncRNA from 1 species
ACCUUGGGUGAAGAAAUAUCCUAUAUGAAAGUUGUAAUAAUGCUCGAAGAGAUCUAAAAAUUUGUAGUUGAAAUUUUUCUCAUUUAAUGUUUACGAGGUACAAUAUUGAUUACAAGUUUUGUACAUAUUAGUAUAAAUAGAAAGCUUCGUAGAACUAGUCAUAUGCGACUAUGUGAUGCAGUGGUAGGGGUGGAUCGCAUGGAGUGAGAGGUUAUAUGUUCAAAUCCUAGCAAAGCAAGAAAUAUGGUGCAAUUGUUGCUCUUGUCUUAAGAGAACCAUCUCUGAAAAUCAAUUUUCAAAGGUGGUUUAUUUUGACAAUUGGUGCAUGGUACUGUUACGGUUAUUCAAACUACCUUUGAAAAUCGAUUUUAACCGCCUCUAUAAAUCUUUUAUGUACUAGUGACUGCUACUGUGUUAGUUUUUGCCCUAUCACCUAAAAUGAAAUUUGGAACUUAAAAUCAAAUUUGGGACAGUUCUGAAGUUUCCAACUUGAAACCAAACUCAAGGAGAUGGAAUCAUUUUUGCCCCCAAGCCGAACAUUGUGAUCCAUUGAUUCCACAUAGGAGCUUGAGUAAAUUAAGGACAUUUUGGGGAAGUUUGGGCAUUAUUACGUACUCCCGUUGCAAAUUAUGCACUCUAGAUCAGCUGUACAAUUAGCAACAUAUGACACAUGUCCAUUACAUUUGCAUGGGAGAGAGUAUAAUGAGGAGUCUCUGUAUGCUGUCCUUCGCCUGUUCCUGAGUCAGACCAACAACUCAGCCGUGCCCCAGCCUGCUACGCUCGAUCCUGGGCGGAGGUUCCUUGCGCCUCUACACUACUCGGGUUUUCCUGGCGCACUGGUAACACAAGCUCGUGUCCAUCAUCCAUGCCCUGACCAUUAUGUGCACCUUGUUGUGUCUGGCCUUCCAAUGUCACUAGACCUAGUCCACACUAUGGACGUCGGACUUGAGGAAGCCAGGGGAUUGAAUUGCUAGCUGCACGCAAAACUAGCUGUGCUUACAGUGCUUGUACUUUCACCGAGAGGACACGAGGCACUGCAUCAACUAUGGUUACGAAAUUGGAAUAGAACGGAGGGCAGUCAAUUCCAGAUGCUUCCCAUGCGUAGAAAGGGACACUACGUACGUGCACAACCGCCAUGGUACCGCACACAUGUGUGUAGCUAGGCAGACAACUACAAAAGAUCCAGUGCAGCCCCAAGUAGAUGGUAAUCUGAGGAGCAAACAAUUAAUGCAUGCUAGUUAUACAAGAUGUGGAUGAGGAUUGUCUGUCUAAUAAGGAUUGUCUGCCUAAUAAUAGGGAUAUAUAACAUAGAGAUCAAAUGUGAAGGGGAAGUCUAUAUAUGGGAAACCAUGUGGGGCUCCACUGGCCACUUGCACAUUUCUCUGCAAACCUCUCAUGUGCUGACUGCGCAUGGUGCAUAAUGUGUACAACAAUGUUUGGUACAUGUUUUGGUUGGUCUAUCUAUGUAAGCUAGUUGUACGUCACUGUGAAAAAUAAUUUUUUGUUGACACUUCUCAUUUGUAGAUAGGCACUUGGUACUUAUACCAUACACUCCACUCUUUAUCCCUUAUCGUCAUCCGUUGUUACUCAGGUCGUGUUUUUAUUCAAUAUAAAAUACCAAUUCUUUAAAAAAAAUUGCUUGAGUGUGUGUUGCGUGUUAGUUUAACAUAUGACAGCUGAGCUCAAGUGCCAGCUGAGCAGAGCUGCUCCCUGCUCAGCGCAGCUGACAGCUCGCUAGGCAUUUUGAGGUGUAGCAAGCCUAGUGCAUGAUGCGGAAGUGGCGGUGCCCCGGUGCGGAUUAGUUCUUCGUUGUUGUUAUGUCAUUCCCUACAUACGGGUU